UGCUAUGGUCAUAGACUUAAGGACUAAGCUUCUCAAAUUUCAUAGGACUACUCUCUUCUGCUAGGGUCGAUAGAUCCCAUCUUGAUGCACAUCCCACUCCUAUAGUAGACUAACUGUCGCCAACAUCCACUAUAAGGGCUCAUUGAGACCCAUGCUGAUAUGUCAGUCAAACUCUAGUAGCCUCACUGCGAGUAGUAGUAUCAUCUCAGGUCAAAGGACCAGUCAUACAACUGCAG
rnacentral:lncRNA from 1 species